GAUUAAAGUAACAAAGGGCACACAAGGGAUGCCUAGGUAGAAAGAGCCGAAGAAGGACGUGGUAAGCUGCGAUAAGCUUGGCGAAGUUGCAAACGAACGUGGAUGCCAAGAUCUCCGAAUGGAGCAAUCUGUAAAGAGUCAUGUCUUUACACGAAAGAGGGAACCGGGUGAACUGAAACAUCUAAGUAAUCCGAGGAAAAGAAAGUAACAACGAUACCCUAAGUAGCGGCGAGCGAACGGGGUAGAGCCUAAACCAUAUUCAUGUCAAGGAUGCAGCCGUUGUGGAUAUGGGGUAGCGGGAAAGAGAGAGAAAGAACUGCAAGCUAUUUCGCAGACGCAAGCAAAGGAACAAGAAAGAUCUGGAAAGGUCUACCGUAGAAGGUGAAAGUCCUGUAUUGGUAGUUUUCUUGCGCUGUAUCUCUUCUCCCAAGUAAUGUGGAACACGAGGAAUUCUGCAUGAAUCUGCGAGGACCAAAUCUCGUAAGGCUAAAUACUCUUUCUAACCGAUAGCGCAUAGUACCGUGAGGGAAAGGUGAAAAGAACCCCGGGAGGGGAGUGAAAGAGAACCUGAAAUUGUGUGCUUACAAGCGGUCAGAGCCACUUUGGUGGUGAUGGCGUGCCUUUUGGAGAAUGAUCCUGCGAGUUACGUUUCAUGGCGAGGUUAAGAAGAACGGAGCCGAAGGGAAACCGAGUCUGAAUAGGGCGCAAGAGUCGUGGAGCGUAGACGCGAAACCCGGUGAUCUAAGCCUGUCCAGGAUGAAGCUGUGGUAAGACACAGUGGAGGUCCUAACCCACCGCCGUUGAAAAGUUGGGGGAUGAGGUAGGUUUAGGGGUGAAAAGCCAAUCGAACCGGGAGAUAGCUCGUUCUCUCCGAAAUGCAUCUAGGUGCAGCCUUGCGUGUUUAAUGAUGGGGGUAGAGCACUGACUGAACUAGGGGGCAUAUAGCUUACUGAAUUCAAUCAAACUCCGAAUACCAUUAUUCAAGAGCGCAGGAGUGAGACCAUGGGAGUUAACUUCCAUCGUCGAAAGGGAAACAACCCAGACCACCAGCUAAGGUCCCAAAUCAUAUCUAAGUGGGAAAGGAGGUGGAGAUUCUUAAACAACUAGGAGGUUGGCUUAGAAGCAGCCAUUCCUUGAAAGAGUGCGUAAUAGCUCACUAGUCGAGAGUCUCUGCGCCGACAAUGUAACGGGGCUAAGAUAUGAACCGAAGCUGUGGAUGUCGUAAGACAUGGUAGGAGAGCGUUCUGUAGGCCGUCGAAGGAGGACUGAAAGGAACUCUGGAGGUAUCAGAAGUGAGAAUGCAGGAAUAAGUAGCGAGAAGGGGAGUGAGAAUCUCCCCCGCUGGAAGACCAAGGUUUUCAGGGUAAAGCUUGUCUUCCCUGAGUAAGCCGGGACCUAAGCCCAGGCUAGAAUGCGUAGGCGAAUGGAAAACAGAUGAAUAUUUCUGUGCCAGUUCUACUUUGUGAAGGAGGGACGCAGAAGGGUAUGCGCGCAGACGAACGGAAGAGUCUGUAGAAGCAUGUAGAGUGACUUGGUAGGCAAAUCCGCCAGGUUAGACUUGAGGUGUGACAUAUACUCGCAAGAGGAAUGCGCAAAUCCCACGCUGCCGAGAAAAGCUUCUAGCGGUAAAGUAGAGACUGCCCGUACUGGAAACCGACACAGGUGGUCAGGAUGAGAAAUCUAAAGCGGACAGGCUAACUCUCGUUAAGGAACUCUGCAAAAUGGCCCCGUAACUUCGGGAGAAGGGGUGCCU
rnacentral:rRNA from 1 species